UAAAGCACCGUGCAAAACAGUUGAAUCAUAUUCUGCUUGUGCCUCUUCCCACCGAAAAUGGGUGUUGAAUUUCUGUCUUAUUUGACCUAUAGAUCCUAAGGGCACGAUGUUGUCGAGAAUAUUAUAAAUAAAUAGGAUGAGAUGAUUACGCUGAUGGUAUUGAUAGAACUGGCGUUGGUUGGGCUGUUACUGUUCGGCUUAACAAUCCCUACUGGUUCCCAUUUGAUGUAUUUGGCUGAGUUUCAUUUGAGUUUGAAUCCGCUCAGCCGAAAAAUGAAAAGUCCCUUUGUUAUAAUUUGACCUCUUAAGGAUCUACUCAGUGCGAAAUUGUAAAUUUGAUCGGUGUUCUACCCACAACUGAAUGUCUGAAAUAGCUUGGGUUCAGCAUUGUAGUAUAUCCACCAGAUUGUCGACUGAGUUUGACAUCUUUUGAAUUUCUUGUCGAAGCUCCUAUUACAUUUGUUGAUAAUCCAGAACGGAGAGUGUCAUAAUUAUUGCAAUCUAGUUGACCAUACCACUGAAUAGAGUUUCGUUCUCCUUCAUCAUCUAACCGUUAAUUUAUGCUUUCGUUAAUUUUACUGAGGAGUUGAUGUGGUGAAUUGGAUUAAUUAUUUUAAGAUUAAUGAUUGAUUUCUAUGCCAAUAGUUUGGGAGUGUCGCUGUUGGCCAUUAACGUUUAUGCAUUCAUUCUAGUGAAGGUAAGUUUCUGUACUUCUGUUAUUGUUAAUAUUAAUGAACAACGCAAAAACUUAUUGGUUGGUAAAAUUAAAUGGUUGACAUGUUCAUUUCAAUUUUGGCUGCAAUUGCUUAUCAUGGUUGCCUAUCAGUUUUAAUAGAACAUUUAACUUGUCUACAUGCAGCUCAUAAAAGAAACACGCACAGACACAUUGAAAUUUAUUCUUGUAAGGGCCCUGUUUUGGUGCAUGCACUCUCACGCGCUCAUAUGUAUGUGUCUAUAUAUAUAAAUGAUUUGGUUUAUGUUCUUGUAGACCUCUUUGGUAUAAAUGAUUCCACAAAAUGUUCUGGAAUUCAUUUUGAAUUUCAUGUUUGAGGGAAAAAAAAUGUUCAUUUCACUCCUAUGAAUUCAGUUUUAUGGAAAUCAACAUAAAC